GGCCUGGUGGUGUAGUGGGUACACGCCUGCUUUCUAUAGAUAUGUGAGUUUUUCUUUCGUAGGAGUUCAAUUCAAGGCCAGGCCA